CCUACGGGAGGCAGCAGUAGGGAAUAUUGCACAAUGGAGGAAACUCUGAUGCAGCAACGCCGCGUGGGGGAUGACGUUCUUCGGAUUGUAAACUCCUUUCGUUAGAGAAGAUAAUGACGGUAUCUAACGAGUCAGCACCGGCUAACUCCGUGCCAGCAGCCGCGGUAAUCCGGAGGGUGCGAGCGUUACUCGGCAUUACUGGGCGUAAAGAGAGCGUAGGCGGGAUAGCAAGUCAGAAGGUAAAUCCUAUGGCCUAACCAUAGAACUGCAUUUGAAACUUUUAUUCUAGAGUAUGGGAGAGGUAGGUGGAAUGCUUGGUGUAGGGGUAAAAUCCGGAGAGAUUAAGAGGAAUACUAAUGGCGAAGGCGACCUGCUAG
rnacentral:rRNA from 1 species